GCGCAUCUGUGCAUGCAGCAUAUCAAUAAGCGGAGGAAAAGAAGCUAACAAGGAUUCCCCUAGUAACGGCGAGUGAAGCGGGAAGAGCUCAAAUUUGAAAUCUUAAAGGGUUUCCCUUUACGAAUUGUAGUUUAAAGAUGUGUUUUCUGUUGAGGUUUUGGUAAAAGUUCUUUGGAAUAGGACAUCAUAGAGGGUGAGAAUCCCGUAUUUGACCUUUACUUUCAACUUUGUGAUACACUUUCAAAGAGUCGGAUUGUUUGGGAAUGCAGUCCAAAAUGGGUGGUAAAUUUCAUCUAAAGCUAAAUAUUGGCGAGAGACCGAUAGCGAACAAGUACCGUGAGGGAAAGAUGAAAAGAACUUUGAAAAGAGAGUUAAACAGUACGUGAAAUUGUCAAAAGGGAAGCGUUUGACACCAGUGUUGUUUUUCUGAAAAUCAAUUAAAGAACUGUUUAUGCUAAGCUGUUUAGACUUUAUCAGCUAACUGUUUAGUUUUGAGCUUUUCUUUAAUGCACUUUUCAGUUAACAAGUCAACAUCAAUUUCUUUUGCUGUAAAAAAGCUUGAGGAAGGUGGCUUGAGAUUCGUCUUAAGUGUUUAUAGCCUCUUGCCUAUGCAGUCGGAGAGAUUGAGGUCUGCAGCGUAGAUCCUUCGGGGCUAAAUGCAUUUGUGCUAAGUUAUAGCAUUUUAUAGACAACUUGUUGACUAUGAUUUGUCUUGUAGCUUACUCGCUUAUGUUAUUUUACCUACGCUUAGGAUGUUGAAUCUGUGCGAGACUAC
rnacentral:rRNA from 1 species